UACGUAGGGAGCAAGCGUUGUCCGGAAUCAUUGGGCGUAAAGCGCGCGUAGGCGGCCCUGUAAGUCCGCUGUGAAAGUCAAAGGCUCAACCUUUGAAAGCCGGUGGAUACUGCAGGGCUAGAGUCCGGAAGAGGCGAGUGGAAUUCCUGGUGUAGCGGUGGAAUGCGCAGAUAUCGGGAAGAACACCCGUGGCGAAGGCGGCACUCUGGGACGGUACUGACGCUGAGACGCGAAAGCGUGGGGAGCGAACAGG
rnacentral:rRNA from 1 species